UUUCACAAUCAUUGAGUUGACUUAAUAUGUUAUUUGAACUUUCCCUUUCAGACAGACCACAGAACAUAGCCACACUCUGGGAUAUCUCCCCUGGUUGCCAAGAUCAAUACCACAUCAAGCCUAUGAACAAAUUUUGGAGUAUUAGGACUCACAAAUAUAUGGAAUGUAACAAAUUUCCAGCAGAGAAAAUUUUGGAAGAACUUUAUAAAAGAUAUAAUGAAGACUAUCAGACCAUGGGGCUUCAUUUUCUCACUUUUUUCAGUUUCCUUCUUCUUCCAGAUGCUCACAUUGACCUCAGCUAGAUCUUCACCUUUCUCCCUGAGCUGGACCCAGAAUGUUCCUCUCUUCUGGAAGGAUGUCUCUAUAACUGACCUUUUUCUUCUUGGAGAGAAGAUUCCUAAAGACCAAUAUGGAAUGCCUUUUUCUGUACCAUUGACAGAGUUUGAAGGUCACAUUAUCCUCAGUUGGUAUGAUGUGUUUCAGGUGAGGAAGAGAUGAUGUCAAUGGAUCCCCAGGUGGGAGAGAUUAUGAGGAACGUCAUUAGCUUCUGGAUGGUAUCACAAGUAUUUAGUACAUCUGUAUUCCUCACUGAUGAAUAUAUUAAGAAACAUGCCUUUCUAUGGAAGAUAAAUGGAAUCCUGGCAGUGACAAGCUCACUGGAAGUGGGUGUUUGUAUUUGUUAUUUGUGGACAAGACACAGUUGCUCAGGGUUUAUUUUCAAGGAAGAAUGGAUGAACUGGUUUGUUUGGAGUGUCAUGAUGAUCUUCCUCAUACUCUUAGGAAUAAUAACUUUGAAAGGUGGAUAUGGGUAUACUUUCUUUUUUAUACUGAUAUUUUCACUGGAUUUCAACAACAUUGAGAGCAUCGUCUUUGUACUUCCUACGAUACGGAUAGUUCUUUCUUUUCUUUUGUCUGAAACAUAAUUUAAUAAGAAAACUGCAGUAAAAUUCUCUUCUUCAAACUCUAAA